rnacentral:pre_miRNA from 1 species
GGGGGAGCGCAGGAUCCUGGGCUGUGACCCGGUGCCCUGUGCUCCGGGGCCUGUGCUGUUGGAUUCGCGCUCCCGGAGGCGCAGUUGCAU